rnacentral:rRNA from 1 species
UACGGGGGGAGCAAGCGUUGUUCGGAUUUACUGGGCGUAAAGAGCGCGCAGGCGGUCGAAUAAGUCGAAUGUGAAAGCCCCCGGCUUAACUGGGGAGGGUCAUUCGAUACUGCUCGACUUGAAGGCAGGAGAGGGAAGUGGAAUUCCCGGUGUAGUGGUGAAAUGCGUAGAUAUCGGGAGGAACACCAGUGGCGAAGGCGACUACCUGGCCUGUUCUUGACGCUGAGGCGCGAAAGCUAGGGGAGCAAACGGG